CAGGGUAUUAAAGUGUACACACGGGCCCACGCGGACAGACACGCAGAGGGUCAGGUUGAGGCAGCCCGACAAACACCCCUUCCCAAAUACACACAUAUGCACUUCUGAAGGGCAGCCAAACCACACGGAAAGGCUGUGCAGUGGCAGCUGGAUCAGGGUUACACUGUCUUACAGAAAUGGAGCAGUACCAUCAAAAAAACUUGGACGGACAUUGCAGCAAACAGUUCAAGUGAGACGACCAAUGGACGCAUGAGGAAGGGGUCUCAAAAAUGAGGACGGACUGCAGGUUGGAAGGAAACUAUUCAAGAGAAAAUGAGUGUGGAGGAGAUGUGGUGAGCCGUUUCCGUCCAGCUGAACGUCACUCGGUCACAGUGGAAGUAGAGGUCUGGACCAAAGAGCUGUCUCAACCCCAAACCAUUUCAGAUGGAGCUGGAUGCAGACGAUAAGCGCCAUCGAACACGCUCCAAAGUGCCUGUGGAUCCAGCGUUAACAGAGCUUUUCAGCCAUCAAAGGGAAUAACAGAUCAUGUGCAGUGAGUGCGGAGCGUGCCAGGGGAACGUGGGCAUGAAGACGGAGGGUUUGGGGGUGGUGGGAGGAUGGGAGGCAGCAGUUUGCUCAGGGCCAGCUCCAGGCCGGGCACAUCCUGACCUCUAACCCCUGACUCCCCCCCACCACUAGUUCUCCCUCCCCAGUCGCAGCCUCCCCCUGCAAUCCCACCUCCGGCCAACCCUCUCCUCAGAGCAGCUGCCAACUAAAUUACAUCAGUGUCAGAAAGCCCUCCUCCUGUGCUGAGGAGAUGGAGCCUG